UGUGCUAUUAUCAUUAACAAGAUA
rnacentral:siRNA from 1 species